CGCGGAGGAGAGCAGCAGCCCCACCGAUCCUCAAGCGAGAGAGAGAGGCAGCGUCUGGAGCAAGAGCUGGGCGGGGAAAUAACUGCGGUACUGAAGAAAUACUUAAUUGCCGAACUGCAGAAAUUUGUUGGCAUCAGAACUUCGUCCGUGUAAAGCAAAAUGUCAUCGUCGGGAAAAGACAACAGCUCUCAGCAUGCGAAUUACGUGGGACCGUAUCGCCUGGAAAAGACGCUCGGCAAAGGACAGACAGGCCUCGUGAAGCUGGGAAUCCACUGUGUCACAUGUCAGAAAGUUGCCAUAAAAAUUGUAAACCGGGAGAAACUCAGCGAGUCUGUGUUGAUGAAGGUGGAAAGAGAAAUAGCUAUUCUGAAGCUCAUAGAACACCCUCAUGUUUUGAAGUUGCACGAUGUCUAUGAAAAUAAGAAAUAUUUAUAUUUGGUUCUAGAGCAUGUGUCAGGUGGAGAGCUCUUUGACUACCUGGUAAAGAAGGGCAGGUUAACACCCAAAGAGGCCAGGAAGUUCUUCAGACAGAUCAUCUCAGCGCUGGACUUCUGCCACAGCCACUCUAUAUGCCACAGAGACCUGAAGCCAGAGAACCUGCUGCUGGAUGAGAAGAAUAACAUCAGGAUAGCAGACUUUGGCAUGGCUUCUCUACAGGUUGGACAGAGUCUCUUAGAAACCAGCUGUGGAUCCCCUCACUAUGCCUGCCCAGAGGUUAUAAGGGGGGAGAAAUAUGAUGGCAGGAAAGCUGAUGUAUGGAGCUGUGGAGUCAUUCUCUUUGCACUUUUGGUGGGUGCUUUGCCAUUUGACGACGAUAACCUGAGGAACUUGCUGGAGAAAGUGAAGCUUGGGGUCUUUCACAUGCCCCAUUUCAUUCCUCCAGACUGCCAGAACCUACUGAGGGGGAUGAUCGAGGUGGACGCCACCAAACGAUUCACGUUAGAACAGAUACAGAAGCACACAUGGUACAUUGGAGGGAAGAAUGAGCCAGAACCAGAACAACCGGUGCCACGGAAAGUGGCGAUCCGCACACUACCCUCUACUGAGGACAUCGACCCAGAUGUGCUUGAAAGCAUGUACUCGCUCGGCUGCUUCCGAGACAAGAACAAACUGAUGAAAGACCUGCUGUCAGACGAUGAUAACCAGGAAAAGAUGAUCUACUUCCUCCUGCUGGACCGUAAAGAGAGAUAUCCUAGCCACGAGGAUCAGAAUCUACCACCCAGAAAUGAGAUUGAUCCUCCCAGGAAGCGAGUGGACUCUCCACUCUUGACAAGGCACAACAAGAGGAGGCCAGAGCGCAAGUCUAUGGAGGUGCUGAGCAUGACAGAGGGUGGAUCUCCUGUUCCUGUGAGACGUGCCAUCGACAUGGCACAACACGGACAGAGUAAAUCUGUUUUCAGUAAAAGCUUGGAUAUCUCAGAUACCAACCCCAUACUGCAAUGCAAGGAGGAGAGGUCCCGGUCCAUCAGCGGAGCCUCUUCUGGUCUGUCUACUAGUCCCCUCAGCAGUCCUCGGCCCAUGAGGCGGUUUGCCGUUCCGCCACAAUCCGCAGAACUCACACAGUCACCCAACCACAGCCCCACCCACGCGCCUGUGUCCCGGGUGAACGGCACAGGCCCCCACUCCCCCAAAACUUUUCAACCAAAGACAGUUGCCCUUCAGUCCAACAACAAAACCCAGACCCUUCCAGCCAAGCCCAAAGUUGCAGACAAGCCCCUGCAGGCCACCAGGUCCAACCCACUCCCUAACACGACGGCCGUGCCAUCUGCGGCCAGGUCAGAACCUUCUACGCCCUGCCAACCCCUGUUCCCGCCGAUGCCCGGCAGCCCAAAAGUGCGCCGGCCACCGCUCACAGUGCCACCCAAACUCUCUGUUCCCCUUUCCCCCCUUUCACCCAUCCGGCUUCACCACCUUCACCCGCUGGCCGGGACUGACCACAACGGCAAAUCUAUCCCCACCAUACAGGUUACGCCUCACCCUUCCCCCAGGGGCAGCCCAUUGCCAACUCCAAAAGGAACGCCGGUGCACACGCCUAAGGAGAGCCCAGCAGGAACCCCUAGCCCUACGCCGCCCCCCAGCCCCUCUAUUGGAGGCAUGCCGUGGAGAACACGCCUCAACUCCAUUAAAAACAACUUCCUUGGCUCACCACGCUUCCACCGCAGGAAACUACAAGUUCCCACACAAGAGGAAAUGUCCAGCCUAACACCAGAGUCUUCCCCCGAACUUGCCAAAAAAUCUUGGUUUGGAAAUUUUAUUAACCUCGAAAAGGAGGAGCAGAUCUUUGUGGUGAUUCGGGACAAGCCUCUGAGCUCCAUCAAAGCAGAUAUUGUACACGCCUUUCUCUCUAUUCCCAGCCUCAGCCACAGUGUGGUGUCUCAGACGAGUUUCCGGGCAGAAUACAAAUCCACAGCUGGCCCCACUGUGUUCCAAAAGCCAGUGAAGUUCCAGGUGGACAUCACAUAUUCCGAAAGCACGGCUGCCACCAAGGAGAACGGCAUCUACUCUGUCACUUUCACACUGCUCUCAGGUCCCAGCCGACGCUUCAAACGGGUGGUGGAGACGAUUCAGGCUCAGUUGUUAAGUACACAUGACCAGCCUGGUGUCCAGCAGCUGUCUGGCAGCCCAUUGAGUAACUUCUUUGACGUAAUUAAACAGCUCUUUUCAGACGAGAAGAACGGGCAGGUGUCCCAUCCGCCCUGCACGCCCAUUCAUGCCAACAGCAAGAGACAUGAGCCUGAGCCUAAUGACUCCAAAUGUUCAUCUGGCCAAGACAAAGCCAAGAUGGCACCAUCAGUUGGGACACAGGAACAACCUUAAAACCAGGAGAAAUACUAGAUUACUAGUUUUAAAAUAAAAUAAAAGAAUCCAGUCAUGGUGAAAGGAUAUUGAAAGGAUGUUUUUGACUCAAGUUGGUUUUAACCAAGCCUCUACAAAGUUUUACAUUAUGGAUUGAAUACUGAAGUACACCCGACACUUCACAAAAGGCGCAUACAGAGACACAUGCCUAUUUUGUUUCUCUCCAGUGUUGUUUGUUCUUCACGGUGUCUCGUUAUGUUCUGUUUUAUGAUGCCUUUAUUUAUUUCUGCUACCAGGAAUUAUCCAGAAAACGUGUUAAAGCCCCAAGUCCUGCUCUUGCACAAGAUUCAUGUAUGGCACAUUGAUGGAGGGCACAUUACACAGGAAGUUCAGUACAAGCAGCUGAGGGAAACUCAUUCUGAUGCAUCUAAACACCCCAAACACCAACAAGAUUCCUUCCUCCUGCAGCUACUGUACAUACAGCCACACAUGUCCGAGGAUUUGGAGUGAAGCCUUAAAAUAAAGAUGUUUAUGAAUUAUCACUAAGCUAACCCACAAUUCAUCUUUUUAUUUAAACAUACUUUUUUUUUUUUUUUUUUAUCCUUGCUUGUCUUCUUUCCUCCCCUCUCUGCUGAUGCACACACAAACACACAGACGUACAUACCGGACAUCGUUACAAAUGGCGAAUGGAGCUCUGGAUAUCAUAACGCACGUGUUUGAGGAGUUGCCCUCGAGGACCGUGGUUGGAUUGUAUUCUUUUCAAUAUAGUCUUUCUUUGUGAAAUGAAGAAUUUAAAAAAUGUUAUGGACUCGGUAUCAUUGCUGUACAAGAUUUGGAGAUCCUAUUUGAAAAAUGGUGGGGAUGAACUUUGGGGGGGGCGUCACAGUAAAUUAUCUAUUCUGUUGUACAGACUGAAAAUAGUCCUUAUGUAACAAAUGUCUAUCAGUGACAAUGCUUAGAUGAAUUGUGUUGCCACAUCAUGUUUUUUUUUUUUCUCAUGUAGCAUUCAUGAAAUGUUAGUUUUGAAUGAUGAUUAUGCUUAAUGUAUUCGAGGAUUGCUCGUGAUGUCAAUUUUCAAUUUGUAUUUAUUUUGUGUUUACUUUAUAUUGAGAAACAUCUGCAGGAUUCAGAGACCUUUUACCCUUUUUUGUAACUUAUUUAUGUGUUUUUGUCUUGUUUUAAUUUAUUCAGCUGGGGAAUAUUUAUAUAUACAAAACCGGGUGGUGGAGAUUUUAUUGUUUGCAUCAGGGCGACUUGUCAGAUUGUUUGAAGGAUUUGUGUUUUGUGUAUGAUAACACAUCCGAUUUUGUGAAUGAAGCACUCUUUCUUUCCUGGCUUUGAACAGAUUAAAGAGCUUGUAGUAUAUGUUAAAUU